rnacentral:rRNA from 1 species
UGGGGAAUCUUGCGCAAUGGGGGAAACCCUGACGCAGCGACGCCGCGUGGGCGAUGAAGGCCUUCGGGUCGUAAAGCCCUGUCGAGCGGGACGAAACGUGCGAGCUCUAACAUAGCUCGUGCCUGACGGUACCGCUAAAGGAAGCCCCGGCUAACUCCGUGCCAGCAGCCGCGGUAAUACGGAGGGGGCUAGCGUUAUUCGGAAUUAUUGGGCGUAAAGGGCGUGUAGGCGGCUUCGUGUGUCCCAUGUGAAAGCCCUCGGCUCAACCGGGGAACUGCAUGGGAAACUGCGGAGCUUGAGUCCGGGAGAGGUGAGUGGAAUGCCCAGUGUAGCGGUGAAAUGCGUAGAUAUUGGGAGGAACACCGGUGGCGAAGGCGGCUCACUGGACCGGUACUGACGCUGAGACGCGAAAGCCAGGGGAGCAAACGGGAUUAGAUACCCCGGUAGUCCUGGCUGUAAACGAUGAGAACUUGGUGUGGCGGGUAUCGACCCCUGCCGUG